rnacentral:lncRNA from 1 species
AAGAAGAUCAACAAAGUUAGACCCACUCCUAUAUGGAUUAAAAUCCAUAUCUGAAUGCAAACAACAAAAGAAAGAAAGAGAAGAACAAGAGGAAAGUGUUUAAGAUAAGAAAGACAAGGAACAAGAGGGAACCAGAGGAAGGCGUUUAAGAUAAGAAAGACAUGGAACAAUAGGAAGGCGUUUAAUAGAGGGAAGAGGACUUGACAUAUAUCUAAACACAUUCAUCACAACCUUCCUAUACUUGACAUAUAGCUAACACAUUUAAAGAUCUAAACACAUUCAUCACAUCUAUUUAUUACUUACACAACUGUAAUCUAACCCUAAACGAUACAUUUAUUGCAGACACUUCAAGUUAAACAAGAAUCAAAAGACAUUAAGCUCAGUUGUUAGAUCAAACAUAGAUGUUUACCUGUAUUGCAAAUGUUGCCCUUUUGCUCUCCUAGCCUUGCUUAUGUCUCCUUAUCGUGUUUCUUUAUUGUGUAUCCUGAACACGUCUCCUUAUCCAACAGACACAAACACAUAGAAGAAUCAAAAAAUAAUCACAGGAAGGAAAUAUUAAAUUGAACAAAAAUGUUCUUCAUUCUCAAGAUUCAAGAUCACGACACCAAGCCACCU